AUCAGCACCCACUAAAUUUCUUUUGACCUUGAUAAAUCAUGUUGCCUGUACAAACAUCACCCAUUUGCAUGUUUCCUCCCAUAAUUUUACUGAAGACUGUUGUG